rnacentral:rRNA from 1 species
GACGAACUGUGCAAACGUUAUUCGGAAUUACUGGGCGUAAAGGGCGCGUAGGCGGCCGCCUAAGUCAGACGUGAAAUCCCUCGGCUCAACCGGGGAACUGCGUCUGAUACUGGGUGGCUUGAAUUCGGGAGAGGGAUGCGGAAUUCCAGGUGUAGCGGUGAAAUGCGUAGAUAUCUGGAGGAACACCGGUGGCGAAGGCGGCAUCCUGGACCGAGAUUGACGCUGAGGCGCGAAAGCCAGGGGAGCAAACGGG